AUUGAACGCUGGCGGCAGGCCUAACACAUGCAAGUCGUGCGGAUGAAGAGAGCUUGCUCUCUGAUUUAGCGGCGGACGGGUGAGUAAUGCCUAGGAAUCUGCCUGGUAGUGGGGGAUAACGUUCCGAAAGGAACGCUAAUACCGCGUACGUCCUACGGGAGAAAGCAGGGGACCUUCGGGCCUUGCGCUAUCAGAUGAGCCUAGGUCGGAUUAGCUAGUUGGUGAGGUAAUGGCUCACCAAGGCGACGAUCCGUAACUGGUCUGAGAGGAUGAUCAGUCACACUGGAACUGAGACACGGUCCAGACUCCUACGGGAGGCAGCAGUGGGGAAUAUUGGACAAUGGGCGAAAGCCUGAUCCAGCCAUGCCGCGUGUGUGAAGAAGGUCUUCGGAUUGUAAAGCACUUUAAGUUGGGAGGAAGGGCAUUAACCUAAUACGUUAGUGUUUUGACGUUACCGACAGAAUAAGCACCGGCUAACUUCGUGCCAGCCGCCGCCGUAAUAC
rnacentral:rRNA from 1 species